AAUAGAUACCCCGGUAGUCCACGCCCUAAACGAUGCGAACUGGAUGUUGGGUGCACUUAGGCACGCAGUAUCGAAGCUAACGCGUUAAGUUCGCCGCCUGGGGAGUACGGUCGCAAGACUGAAACUCAAAGGAAUUGACGGGGGCCCGCACAAGCGGUGGAGUAUGUGGUUUAAUUCGAUGCAACGCGAAGAACCUUACCUGGCCUUGACAUGCACGGAACUUUCCAGAGAUGGAUUGGUGCCUUCGGGAACCGUGACACAGGUGCUGCAUGGCUGUCGUCAGCUCGUGUCGUGAGAUGUUGGGUUAAGUCCCGCAACGAGCGCAACCCUUGUCCUUAGUUGCCAGCACGUAAUGGUGGGAACUCUAAGGAGACCGCCGGUGACAAACCGGAGGAAGGUGGGGAUGGACGUCAAGUCAUCAUGGCCCUUACGGCCAGGGCUACACACGUACUACAAUGGUGGGGACAGAGGGCUGGCAAAACCCGGCGAGGGCAAGCCGAAUCCCAGAAACCCCAUCCCAGUCCGGAUUGGAGUCUGCAACUCGACU
rnacentral:rRNA from 1 species